UACGAAGGGUGCUAGCGUUGUUCGGAUUCAUUGGGCGUAAAGGGUGCGUAGGUGGCGCCAUAAGUCGGGUGUGAAAUCUCGGGGCUUAACUCCGAAACUGCAUUCGAUACUGUGGUGCUUGAGGACUGGAGAGGAGACUGGAAUUCAUGGUGUAGCAGUGAAAUGCGUAGAGAUCAUGAGGAAGACCAGUGGCGAAGGCGGGUCUCUGGACAGUUCCUGACACUGAGGCACGAAGGCCAGGGGAGCAAACGGG
rnacentral:rRNA from 1 species